rnacentral:rRNA from 1 species
UGGGGAUGACGUCAAGUCAUCAUGGCCCUUACGGCCUGGGCUACACACGUGCUACAAUGGUCGGUACAAAGGGUUGCCAAGCCGCGAGGUGGAGCUAAUCCCAUAAAACCGAUCGUAGUCCGGAUCGCAGUCUGCAACUCGACUGCGUGAAGUCGGAAUCGCUAGUAAUCGCGGAUCAGCCAAGCCGCGGUGAAUACGUUCCCGGGCCUU